GUUGCCAAAUCAGAGCACGAGUUACAAGCAUCACAAGCAGGAUGGCACAGUACAAGGGGGCAGCAAGUGAAGCGGGACGGGCCAUGCAGAUCAUGAAGAGAAGGGAGAAAGAGCUGGAGGAGAUGGAGCAGAAGAAAAGAAAGCUGGAGGAAUCGCUGAAAAUCAACAAGAUAGAGAACAAGUUUGCUGUCCAUUAUGAUGCCGUAGAGCAGCAGCUGAAGAGCUCAACAAUUGGUUUAGUAACUCUGAAUGAGAUGAAAGCCAAGCAGGAAGAUGUUGUGAAGGAGAGGGAGAAGGAGCUUGCACGCAAACAGAAGGAGCAAGAAAAAUUGAUGAAGAAGGAAAUAGAAGCAAAACAGGCAAAGAAAAAAGAGCAAAGAGAUAAGAUUGCAAAGCUCAGUUUUUGUCCAGAUGAUGAAGAGGAGGGAGAAGAUGAAGAGGAGGAAGUUGAGGAAGUUGAGGAAGAGGAGGAAAAAGUUGUGGAGGUUAAGACGAGCGAGAGCAAGGAAUUCCGCAUGGCCAAGAACCCAGAUGUGGACACAAGCUUCCUGCCAGACAGGGAAAGGGAGGAUGCUGAGAAUAGAUUACGAGAAGAACUAAGACAGGAAUGGGUAGGUAAACAAGAGGCUAUGAAGAAUGAGGAAAUAGAGAUCACCUUCAGCUACUGGGAUGGGUCAGGUCACAGACGAUCAGUUCGGAUGAAGAAAGGGAACAGCGUGUAUCAGUUUUUACAAAGGGGUCUGGAAAUCUUGCGGAAGGAGUUCAAUGAGCUACGUACUGUCUCAGCUGACCACCUUAUGUAUAUAAAAGAAGAUCUGAUUAUACCUCAUCACUACACAUUUUAUGAUUUCAUUGUCAAUAAAGCCAGAGGUAAGAGUGGACCCUUGUUCCAUUUUGAUGUCCGUGAUGAUAUCAGACUGGUGAGCGAUGCUUCUGUGGAGAAGGAAGAAUCCCAUGCAGGAAAGGUGGUGAUGCGAAGCUGGUAUGAACGCAACAAGCAUAUCUUCCCUGCAAGUAGGUGGGAACCUUAUGACCCACAGAAGAAUUAUGAGAAGUAUACCAUAAAGGACAAGAGCAAGAAGAAGUAAAGGAAUAUUGCCAGGCCUUCCAUAGUACAAAUCCUGCUCCUCUUCAAAAACUGCCAGGGAUACAGUACAGGAUAGGGGAGUUUGUAGGGGAGAUGGAGACAGUUCCGGUACAAGUAUUAAGGGUGGGAUGAGGUUCGGCGGGAAUGGAUCCCCAGGAAUUGUAUAAACCGAUACAGUUUGGCACCAGUGGCGUUGUAGUGAACCAAGGGGGUCCCAAGCAAUACGUGGCAGGGCUGGACGCCUGGAAUCUCCACCUGUGACCAUCAGGGACCACCACCGUGGGGAACCACCGUGGACAACCUUCGUGGGCUGUACAACAACUCCAAGCACUUACCUGCUUCUCCCCGCCUCUAAGACGCUGACAGAGGUAUGGGAGAUAAACGAGGAAAUCACGCUCGCACGGCCAAGGCUACAGGUACUCUCUCUCUCCCAAUCCUCGGGGUAAAUUACUUAUACAAUGGGAAUUCUAGCAGCAUAACAGAGAUCCACGGAAGACUGCUUGAUCAGGAUAGCUCUUGCUGCAGGCAUAUGGAGAGAGGCCGUAGUCAAGCCUUUUCUUUGUGUUAAUCAUUAUUGUGUUAUACGGUGACGGACGGAGGAUUCGAGGCAGUUUUUGAAAGAUUAGUAAUGUGUACACCAUCAGUAUAUGCAGGCUUUGUUAUUCAUUGUCAUUUAUGUAUAUGUCGAAGUUUCUUUAUUAAAUAUUAAUUUUA
rnacentral:misc_RNA from 1 species